rnacentral:rRNA from 1 species
AGUGAACGCUGGCGGUAGACCUAACACAUGCAAGUCGAACGGCAGCACAGUAAGAGCUUGCUCUUACGGGUGGCGAGUGGCGGACGGGUGAGGAAUACAUCGGCAUCUACUUUUUCGUGGGGGAUAACGGAGGGAAACUUACGCUAAUACCGCAUACGACCUACGGGUGAAAGCAGGGGAUCUUCGGGCCUUGCGCGAUUGAUUGAGCCGAUGUCGGAUUAGCUAGUUGGCGGGGUAAAGGCCCACCAAGGCGACGAUACGUAGCUGGUCUGAGAGGGUGAUCGGCCACACUGGAACUGAGACACGGUCCAGACUCCUACGGGAGGCAGCAGUGGGGAAUAUUGCACAAUGGGCGAAAGCCUGAUCCAGCCAUGCCGCGUGAGUGAAGAAGGCCUUCGGGUUGUAAAGCCCUUUUGUUGGGAAAGAACAGCAGCAUGUUAAUACCCCGCUGUUCUGACGGUACCCAAAGAAAAAGCACCGGCUAACUUCGUG